CAUCAGUUUGGGGAUCACCCACAUUCUGAAGUUGAACAAGCUGAAGUAAUUUGCUUUUACCUAGUAACCGAGGAGGGUUUGCUGAAUUAUAUAUAUGGAGAACGAAUUACUGUAAGAAAGGCAACGCAGAUGAGUGAACAAUCGUGUAUGCGCAUCUCUGGUGCAUACUGAUGUGCUCCAACACUUCCUGAGAGCACGCAAUGAGCAAUGAGCAGAUGAUUCACUCAAGAUGGAGAAGCGAGUGCAUGACAUGGGACUGCACUGCUGACAGAAUUCACCAUUCAGAGAGUGGUUAUACUUAUAUUGUGUGCGUCAAUGCUGAAUAGAGGCAUUGGAGGGGCAUUUUUUUGAUUGACUGGGGCCCUGCUGAAAUGAAGUUGGACAUCUGAAAUUCCCUCAUCAGUGCACAGAAGAUCUCUAUGGACUGUUCUGCUGGGGACCUCCAUAGCCUGCAAUGGAGCUGUGUGUGUGAACUGGCAGUGAAGUCUAUGCAGUCCACUGAGGCAAGUUGCAGAAGAACCCAUGUGCAGUUUUAUUAACUCAAACAUAAAACAAAAAGACUUAAAGAAACAAGGAGGCACAUGACAGGAUCACAUGGCACAUGGCCAGGAAGAGUGAGACAUGAACAUGAAACAAAACCAAAACUAGACGUGACAAAAUCCCCCCCUCUAUGGGCGGCUUCCGACGCUCAACAUAAAACCAAAACUAGACAUUGUCCAGGAGGGUGGUGUUGUGAACAACAAUUAAGAUGGCAUUCCAGGGACCAGUUUACGACAGGGCCCCUCUCUAACUGCUGGUGUGUAAGAAGAUGUGCCACACUGUGAUUGGAUCUUUGGUGAAUGAACAUAAACAAAUGUUCAGCAACAUCAGAUAAGAUGUUAGGACAACUACCAGACACCUCUUCCAGAGCAGGAAGGGGAACCUUCUGCACCCACCAAAACCAAGGAGAGGACUUCUCAUUGGACGACACAUUGACUCUAACCACCAAACUCAUACCUAAGAUUUAGGCAAGGACUGCCAUAUAAAUUCCUUCAGGACCCCCUGGAUAGAGCAGCAGUGACUGAAAUAAAGAGAGGCCACAGAGAUCUAUCUAAAUCCAUUCAUACCUAUGUUUGGAGGCCUUAAUUUGAUUGAAACUGCAUCACAUCCACUCCGUCUUCACGCAAAGCACAGUUUAUAUUAAUGGUUACUGACUGUUAAAACAACAGGUCAUGGGAUAGUCCUGUUAACAGAUAAACAAAUGCAUGGACGAUGAUUUAACCAUUUCAUAUUGUGUUUGGUGUCUAUCUGUUCCCUAUAAUGCCUUUAAUAAUUUGAAAGAGGUUUGGUAAAGAAAUAAUGCAUUGGUAAAAUGUUAAAGACACUAUUUUAACACUGUACUUUAUGCUAUGCAAAUGAGUUCCACACUAGGGUAGGCAACACCGGGGUUGCUUCAGAUAACAGUGGCCAAUCACACUCCAGGAUCGGCAAGGCGCCACAUUUCAAUCUCCUUCUCAUUAGAAAGGGAUAAAUAUGUCCCCCGGGUAGACACACCCUUGUUCUGCGUUUCCAGCUCGACGGGGAAGGAGACAUUAACAGACACCCCACGUCCUAAGUUUCUGACCUGACGAGGAAAGAGACUACAAGACGUUUAAGGUGAAGCUUUCGCGAGCAAAACCUUUUACAUUGCUUUCAGCUGCACUCUAGCUGCAAAAAGGGCCCCAGCUUUGAGGGACUUCAUCUGACCCUCACGGCUCCUACAGCAGCGCAGCCCAGUCCGUAAAGGACCUCUGAAUUGGCAGACAUUGCCUGUACCACACGGCUCCUCAGCGACGCAGCCAGCCUGCAAAGGAACCUGUGAAGAUUCAUCUGACCCAGCUGCCCAGUCCAUCCUAAAGGACCCUCUUGGCGCAACCGAAGUUCAGCAUCCUCCAGCCCAGGGUGGCACGACUACUGGAUCGCAACUCCGCGCCCUCCCACUGCACGCAGCCUGCAUCAUCAGUGGAAGACGUCUCUGCUACCGGAUUGAUCACCCGACUGUGUGGAACGUAAAUAUAAACUUACCAAACCUCUUUCUAGAGACCUUGGCAUUAGUUUAUACAUGCAGCAUAUGUUUUUCUAACCUGUUUAGAUAACAGUUACUUGAGGUCAGCUUGUUACAAAUAAUAGGGAUAUUAUUUGUUGAAUGAUAAAUUAGCAAUUAUUUAUCACCAUUUUACCAGAGCCAUUAGGUGGCUUCCAUAAGAAGCAUUCCCAUACAAUUCUCUUCCAUUCUACAUUCAAUUUAACAGCAUUGCAUUUAUCCAUUCCGUGUUCACUUCAUUUAUUUGUCUCUUUGAUUUAAUUCAGUAUUUUCCUUUGAUUAUUAUUUUACUAUCUUUUAGAAGUGCAUAUUCAUUAUUUCAUUAUUAAUCGUUGUGGUAUUUACUCUUGCAUGUCUAUUGUUAAUAAAUUUAAUUGAUUUUAUUAUAACUGUGUCUUCCUUGUGUUGAUGAUCAAAGACUCUACUAGUUGACCAGACUCUCACAAAUCCUUCAGAUAAAUCAGUUGACCAACUCCCUCCCGUUUAUAUUAAUUCUGAAUUAUUGAACAGCUCUUUUGGAGUGUUCUUAAAUUGUUAAGACAGUAUUCUUAACUGGUGCCCCGUAUUACAAAAGGGGGGGAGGGGUCAUCUGAUACACUCAUAACCACACCUUAAGUGACACGUGAUCAAAAAUCACUACGUCACUGGUGAAUGGAGUAAAAAUCACUACAGUGGUGGAGCAGAGGCGGU